UGGUGGGAUGGUAGCAGUAUCUAGAAAUUCACACCAGAGUAACAAAAUGUGUAUCCAGUCAAACCCAGGACUGUAUGACGAAGGCACGGCUUACUGAAGAGAGGCCAAGACCAAAAUCACCUCCUAUUGCUUUCGGUAUUUGGGCUGCCGAAGUAAAGGUCAGAUAUUCUCUAAAAAGCUGGAUGAUCCAUAUAUAUGAACACAACAUUACCUCACUGCAGACACUAACAGGUUGCUAGUCUUCAAAGUCUCCAUCAACACACUUCCACAUUUUCAACUGUUUUCUGCUUCCGGACCACAGGUCUUCUAUGAAAUGACGUACCCUAGAGUGGUGUUGCAGCCCCACGCUUGCACGUGGCUUACAGCUGCGGCAACAGCAUCUUUCCUGUAGGCAGCACAGCUCACAGGCUUCUCUGAAAGCAAGGGCUCACCAUGCCCAUCCCAUAGCAAAAUCCACCCUGCUCUUAUAUCUUUCGAGCUAUAAGCCCCCUUCAAAACACCUGCACUGCGAUUAAGCUAGUCCCUGUGCAAAACAAAAGACUCAAAAAUUGCACCUGGUUCUUUAGUUAUCUUCAGAAGUCUGGGCUCAAGGAUGACAACUGCCUCGUUAUUUGCUGUACAAUCAUGUAUAUGUUCAAAGGGACGUAUUCACAAUCCAACAAUAAGAACCUUAAUUAGGUACUUGGGUUAGAAAACCAGACUCCUUACCAGGACAGAGAGACUGGUUCAUCCACAGGCAAUCCAGAACACCCAAGUUAGGCUUUUGCUUUGACUCGCACUCUGGAGACUUUUUCUUGUCAUAUUAUAGGGAACCUGCUUUCUAAAUCAGGAACUUAUUUAAGGUCCCUAACGAUGAGCACAGGAAUAAUGCCCUGGACAUCCAUUUACUUCUGCUCAGCCACGCUCAGCCAUUUCAUUAAACACACUGAACAGCAUUUUGCUUUGCUCCCUCCUUGCCCAGAUCCUACACAAGCUUCAAAAAAUAACAACUGUUUUGGAGGGUCUGCAACAGAACAGAUUUUUAACACCAUUCUUUUCUUUAAGAGCAUUAAGUCCACCCAGUUCACAAAACCAGAACCUGACCUAGCUUAGGGUCCCUGCAGAUUUCUAUUCAGAUGCAGUCAUCCAGGCCCCAGGACACGAGGGCAGAGUCAGGAGGGAAUAACACUGGCAAGGCCAGCUGAGGAAUGCCUCGCACCUCCUCGUACCACACAGCAGGCUCUGCUUAGUGCUACGAGUCUUCCUCUAAUUGCACAAAUACUGAAGCCCUCUACAGAGUAUUUUCAAUCAAGACAAGGAAACAAGAAAGGACUGCUUAUCUGGUCUGCUGCUAACUGAAGCUUUUCAAUGUGGCCUUGAGGAUGUUUCAAUUCUAGUUCCUAUAAUCCUACAGAUAAUUUUUGCUCUUAGUUGGGCCUAAAAUAUCCCAGAAUUGUAUUAUGAUUCAGUAAAUUUUAUUAAUGUAAUACCCAGGAGCCUAGACCUUUGAAAACCAAGGCACUAAAGUUCAUUUCAGAGGGUAAAAAACAUUGCUUAAUUGAUUUGCAGCUAGAUAUUC